rnacentral:rRNA from 1 species
UACAGAGGGUGCGAGCGUUAAUCGGAAUUACUGGGCGUAAAGCGCGCGUAGGCGGCUUUGCAAGCCGGAUGUGAAAUCCCCGGGCUUAACCUGGGAACUGCGCUUCUAACUGGCAGGCUUGAGUGUGGCAGAGGGGGGUGGAAUUCCACGUGUAGCAGUGAAAUGCGUAGAGAUGUGGAGGAACACCGAUGGCGAAGGCAGCCCCCUGGGCUAACACUGACGCUCAUGCACGAAAGCGUGGGGAGCAAACAGG